CUACGGGGCGCACCAGUGGGGAAUUUUGCGCAAUGGGGGCAACCCUGACGCAGCAAUACCGCGUGAGUGAAGAAGGCCUUUGGGUCGUAAAGCUCUUUUCUGAGGGAAGAUAGUGACGGUACCUCAGGAAUAAGCACCGGCUAACUCCGUGCCAGCAGCCGCGGUAAUACGGAGGGUGCGAGCGUUGUUCGGAUUUACUGGGCGUAAAGGGCACGUAGGCGGCACAGCAAGUUAAGGGUGAAAUCCCGGGGCUCAACUCCGGAACUGCUCUUAAAACUGCUGAGCUAGAGAUAGUCAGAGGCGGGUGGAAUUCCUGGUGUAGAGGUGAAAUUCGUAGAUAUCAGGAGGAACACCGGUGGCGAAGGCGGCCCGCUGGGGCUAUUCUGACGCUAAGGUGCGAAAGCGUGGGGAGCGAACGGGAUUAGAUACCCUAGUAGUC
rnacentral:rRNA from 1 species